GGGCACCACUGGAACGGAUGGCUAAUACCGGAUGUGCCGAGAGGUGAAAGGUUAACUGCCUGGAAAUGAGCUCGCGUCUGAUUACCUAGUUGGUGGUGUAAGGGACUACCAAGGCGACGAUCUGUAGCUGGUCUGAGAGGAUGAUCAGCCACACUGGAACUGAGACACGGUCCAGACUCCUACGGGAGGCAGCAGUGGGGAAUUUUCCGCAAGGGGCGAAACCCUGACGGAGCAAUACCGCGUGAGGGAGGAAGGCUCUUGGGUUGUAAACCCUCUUUUUCUCAGGGAAUAAGCAAGUGAAGGUACCUGAGGAAUCAGCAUCGGCUAACUCCGUUCCAGCAGCCGCGGUAAUACGGAGGAUGCAAGCGUUAUCCGGAAUGAUUGGGCGUAAAGCGUCCGUAGGUAGCAGUGUAAGUCUAUUGUUAAAGAGUUUGGCUUAACCAAAUAAAGGCGGUAGAAACUACACAGCUAGAGUGCGUUCGGGGCAGAGGGAAUUCCUGGAGUAGCGGUGAAAUGCGUAGAGAUCAGGAAGAACACCGGUGGCGAAAGCGCUCUGAUAGGCCGCAACUGACACUGAGGGACGAAAGCUAGGGGAGCGAAUGGGAUUAGAUACCCCAGUAGUCCUAGCCG
rnacentral:rRNA from 1 species